CAAUGCUGAGGAGUCCCAUAAUAGGAUGAAACGGCCGUCUCAGUGC
rnacentral:hammerhead_ribozyme from 1 species